AUUGAACGCUGGCGGCAGGCCUAACACAUGCAAGUCGAGCGGAUGAAGGGAGCUUGCUCCUGGCUUCAGCGGCGGACGGGUGAGUAAUUCCUAGGAAUCUGCCUGGUAUUGGGGGAUAACGUCCGGUAACGGGCGCUAAUACCGCAUACGUCCUGAUGUAGAAAGUGGGGGAUCUUCGGACCUCACGCUAUCAGAUGAGCCUAGGUCGGAUUAGCUAGUUGGUGGGGUAAAGGCCUACCAAGGCGACGAUCCGUAACUGCUCUGAGAGGAUGAUCAGUCACACUGGAACUGAGACACGGUCCAGACUCCUACGGGAGGCAGCAGUGGGGAAUAUUGGGCAAUGGGCGAAAGCCUGAUCGAGCAGUGCCGCGUGAGUGAAGAAGGUCUUCGGAUCGUAAAGCACUGUAAGUUGGGAGGAAGGGCAGUAAGUUAAUACAUGGCUGUUUUGACGUUACCAACAGAAUAAGCACCGGCUAACUUCGUG
rnacentral:rRNA from 1 species